rnacentral:rRNA from 1 species
AUGUGUUUCAAUUUCUGGCCUUGCACCGACCAUCCAACGGACCAUGGAAUAAACGGCCACUGCCUGAAAGGAUGCUAUGUCCAGGGGACCGCUGCCCUCCACAAGGUACAUCUUGCGCCUAUGGGCCGCUAUAACUAUCCAAGACACUCGAAAAAGGAAGGAUAA